rnacentral:lncRNA from 1 species
ACUAACUUAGCCAUGGCAUCACAGACUCUAGCCUUUAUUCUACCCUAUUCUCACAGGGGUUGCCAAGCACAGCUGACAGAACUUGAGGCACCUAGGGGAAGAGACAGACAAAUUGUUGUACCCCAUCUCCUCACUGCCUUCCCAGUGGAUUGGCACACAGGAAAUGUGUCCUUAAGCAUCUCCUCAAUGUCCCAACACUUUUAUAUACUGGGUUUCCAUAGGCAUGGACAUAAAGAGUCCCUGAUCUCUAUAAAGUUACAGUCGGGAAGAAUUAGGGACAGAGGCCACAACUUCCUCCACAGAAGGUUCUUAGCAUCAUCAGGAAGAAUUCAAACACAAAGAAUGGGUCUUCUCAACAUGGAAGGAGCUUGCUCUAAGUAAAACCCAUCCUGGCCUACACGAACCUGAUGAUUUCUGGUUUUCUCUCAUUUUUUUCAAUGGGCCUAAGUGUUGACAGUGGAAGAUGACCCAGAAGUGGCAGGUGUCACACAGAUGGGA